ensembl:lncRNA
UUCCUCUACUAUCACGUGAAUUGGCGGCUUGUCUUGCAACUGUAGAACCAUCGCUGCUCCCGAGGCAUAAUCGGCCUCCUUCUUGUCCUCUUGAAGUCACCAAGCCAACGGCAUUCGGUGGGCUGCGGGAGCGUUUGCGCCACCCGAUGCCUCCAAGAAUGCUCGGCAGAGUUUCCUACUUGCAACCAAGGGUGCUUGCACUCGGUCCACCACCCUCGUCUCUUUGGGUCCGCAGAGAAGCCAAGAAGCCACUUUGCCUCAAGAUCUCCAUGUCAAGAUUCAGGUCAGAAACUUGUAUCUCCCAGCCUCAAGAUCAGGAUCACAGCUGGGGACCGAACCCAGGGCCUUGCACCACUGCUCACUUCUAAGCACGACUUCACAUGCUACCUGGAGCAAUGGGCUGUUGCCUUAACAACCUGACCACAAAAGUUCACACCUGCCAACUUUAAGCCCCUUCGGGUCUCUCUGCUUCUCCACUGCCACCCAGUGAGCAGCACUGCUGGGCUCCUCCUCCUGCCAUGGCGUCUGCCUCACCAUGGACCAGACUCUGGGUAGGCGGAGACAUCUGGAACUGUGAGCAGAGGUAAAUCCCCCUUCGAGAUUUCCCCCCUCCCAGGAAUUUUGUUCAAAUUGACCACCUGCACAGUAUGAAAAAAUCGUUUCUUUAAUAUUGUCUCUGUCUCUGAAGCUGGCCUCAAAUUCACCUCAGAGCUGAGGCUAAUGUUGAACUUCUGAUCUCCCACCUCCCCUUUCACGACACUGGAGAAACAAGCCUUUGCUGUCACACUUAGCGUAUGGUGCUCGAGGGCAGAACCCAGGGUUGCACGAGUGCUGGGAAGGUGCUCUGUUAACUGCAAUUGCUCGCACACAGUUAACUGACACGUUUCGUAGACACUUAAUUCAAUCAUUACUAGUCUGUGCCUAACUUAACAACCCCCCUUCUGUGGCCUCUUAGAAUAUUUUAGUUGCUUUUUAGAAGCCAGAUGAAGAAAAUGAGCACACAAGAAGAAAACCACUGAAAAACAAACACUGAACAAGAAUAACCAGUCAGGAACCCUUAC